UACGUAGGGUGCGAGCGUUAAUCGGAAUUACUGGGCGUAAAGCGUGCGCAGGCGGCUGCUCAAGUCAGGGGUGAAAGCCCAGAGCUCAACUCUGGAAUUGCCUUUGAGACUGAGUGGCUUGAGUACGGGAGAGGUGAGUGGAAUUCCCAGUGUAGAGGUGAAAUUCGUAGAUAUUGGGAAGAACACCGGUGGGCGAAGGCGGCUCACUGGCCCGUAACUGACGCUCAUGCACGACAGCGUGGGGAUCAAACAGG
rnacentral:rRNA from 1 species